rnacentral:rRNA from 1 species
GAUGAACGCUGGCGGCGUGCCUAAUACAUGCAAGUCGAGCGAACAGACGAGGAGCUUGCUCCUCUGACGUUAGCGGCGGACGGGUGAGUAACACGUGGAUAACCUACCUAUAAGACUGGGAUAACUUCGGGAAACCGGAGCUAAUACCGGAUAAUCUAUUGAACCGCAUGGUUCAAUAGUGAAAGACGGUUUUGCUGUCACUUAUAGAUGGAUCCGCGCCGCAUUAGCUAGUUGGUAAGGUAACGGCUUAUCAAGGCAACGAUGCGUAGCCGACCUGAGAGGGUGAUCGGCCACACUGGAACUGAGACACGGUCCAGACUCCUACGGGAGGCAGCAGUAGGGAAUCUUCCGCAAUGGGCGAAAGCCUGACGGAGCAACGCCGCGUGAGUGAUGAAGGUCUUCGGAUCGUAAAACUCUGUUAUUAGGGAAGAACAAAUGUGUAAGUAACUAUGCACGUCUUGACGGUACCUAAUCAGAAAGCCACGGCUAACUACGUG